UACAGAGGGUGCGAGCGUUGUCCGGAGUUACUGGGCGUAAAGCGCUUGUAGGCGGUCCACCAAGUUUGGGGUGACAGUUGCCGACUUAAUCGGCAAAGUGCCUCAAAGACUGGCGGACUUGAGGGCCACAGAGGGACAUGGAACUCCAGGUGUAGUGGUGAAAUGCGUAGAUAUCUGGAAGAACACCAAAGGCGAAGGCAGUGUCCUGGGUGGUCGCUGACGCUGAGAGGCGAAAGCCAGGGGAGCGAACGGG
rnacentral:rRNA from 1 species